rnacentral:lncRNA from 1 species
UUAGACAUAAAACAAAACAACCUAACAAGUCAUCAACAACAAACCAUUAACAUCACAUGCAUACAUAUAUAUACAUAGCCUUCAAAAUGCCAACCAACAUAAUGACUUAUAAAUAUAAAAAAAUUCCUAGGUACAUGCUAAGACCAAAAGAACAAUUCACCAACACUUGAGUUCGGGAUUGCCUCUGGAUGUUGAGUUGAUGAUUGAUUCUUUAAGUACCUAACUUGCGCAUGGAAAACAAAAUCAUAUGUUGAUAUAACUCAAUGGUAUUUCUAUAAUAUGAACAUUUAAAACAUAAUAUAAGUCAUAAUGAUGCAUAAACUUAAUAAAGAUAAUAUGCAAUAUAUAAACUCAAUAGGCUAAUUCACAUAGUCAUUAAUCCCAGUAUGCUCAUUUUACCAGUAUUAAGACAUAGCAAUCACAUUUCAUAAGUCAUUUGCAAAUUAAACUAAUGUAAUGGCACAUUUCAUCUCAAUUUCUCAUUUCAAGUGUUCAUUGAACAAAUACAAUCAAUAUUCAUAGUUCAAUCUAUUAUUUCAUAUUACAUUUCACAUUUCAUUUCAUUUCAUAACAUUUAUUAUUUCAGUAGCAUCGCUAUUUCAAUAGCAUUUCCAUUUCAAUAUCAUUAUCUUGAUUUCACCAUUUAUUUCCCUAUUAACACGACUUAAACUUGAAUGGAUACAAGGAUCCAACCAACACACCAGUUUAGCACCCAGUGCCUCAUCCAAUAAAUCUGAAACAAUUAGUUAUGCCUAGUGUUAUAAAUAAGUUUGACACCCAGUGUCUUAUUGGUUAAACAGAAGCAAAUUGGCACCCAAUGACUUGUAGUCGAAGUAACCCUGAACUCUUCCUAUCCUAUGACAUGCCAACUAUAUUCGACUCUGCUCGGACAGUUAAUAGGGUAUUUAAUUCAUUCUUCUAUAUCAUUCAAUAACUCAAUUCACAUCAAUUUAAUCAUGAACUCAUUCAUUCAAACAUAUGGAAACAUCAAAUAUCUCAUUUUGUAGUCAAUUUCCAUAUUUAUAUGAAUAUACGCAUGUUUUUCACAUAUAAUCAAUUUAGCCCCUAUAAUCAUCAAUCAAUUCAAAUCAUCUCAAUUAAACAAGGAACCUCACCUUACAUUCUUACCAUGCAUAACCAAAUCAAAAUGCAUCAAUUACAAGUUAGUUCGGAUUAUAAAAACACAAACCGUAAACUCUAAGCUAUUCGUUGAUAAAUUUGUCUUUUCCUUUCUUUUUCGAGGAAUACAGGUCGACGUUAGCCACAGAUUAGAAAAACAUAAUAAAUUAUCAAUAAAACGUCAAUUUCACAUUCAAUUUCUAAUUUAUGAAAAUUUUACAUUUUAUUCAAUUUAGUACCUAAAAUCGAGACUAACAUAACUUUCACAUUUAGCCUCAAAAUUUUAUACUAUUUUCAUUCUAGGUCUAAUUUAACUUUAUUUUUCACAUUUCUACCACUAAAUUUAAAAUUUGUUUAUUUUAGACCCUAUUGCACAAAUUUAACAAUUGACUUUACAAUCUAGUCCUUAGUCAAUUCUAAACUUAAAAUUUAUCAAAAUAACACCUCAAACUCCAAAUAUUCAACAAUGGUAACAUUCUAAAUCUUUAACAGUUCUAAAAAUUAUGACAUGGGUCAGCUAAUUUGGAGUACCGAGAUUCCAAAAACAUAAAAAUUACAAGAAAAUGACUAAAUUGAACUAACCAAUUUAAGGUUUGAAACUUUGAAAACCUAGUCGUGCCCAAUCUCCCUUUCUAUUUUGCUUCGAAAUAUUUUGGAUGAAAAGGAAAUAAUGUUUCUCUUUCAAUCCACUAAUAUCAUCUUUUAAAUUUCUUUUAAUUUUAUUUAUUUUUAUUUUAUUAUUAUUUCUUUAAUUUAACUAAAAUUUAUAAUAUAAAAUAUAUAUAACACUAAGUUUUAACCAGUCACAUAUAUAUUAUUAUAUAAUGGUUUAUUUACUUUAUAAGUCUUAUAUAUUAAAUUCUAAUUGUAAUCUCUUAAUAAUUCUUACUUUAAUCACUUACGCGAUUUAGUCCCUAUACUCUAAUUAAACACUAUUUCGAUGAAAUUACCUAUCCGAAAUUCAAUUCACUUCUAAUGAAGCUUCGUAAAUAUUUAAUAAAGAUAUUUACGAGUUUGGUUCACAGAAACGGAGUCUCAAAACUAUACAUUCUGAUACCACUAACUUUCAGGUCAUUACAAAGAGACCUAAUAUCCAUAAUUUGCCUAAGUUUUUUCAACGAGCUACCACAACGUUGUGAAUCUGAGUCCGCAGCACAAACAACGACAACACCUGCAUUAUCAAUAAGGUUACCGACAACAUCACUUUUCAUUGCAUGGGAGCUUACAGCACCUUCCUGAUCACCGGUAGAAAAGGAAGAACACUUGCAAGGUAGCAACUUACAAUAUGAAUACAAAAAAAUUUACGAACUCCGCUUUUUACCCUAACAAAAUCAGCCCCAAUUUGUCAAUAGCGCCAUGGGGCCAAGCAAGCUCUGCAGACAACACAAGAUUGGGGUUCACACCACUCGUAAUGUUAACCACCCGAAAACCAUUAGGAAUUGACUCCAAAAGACAGUACCAAAAUAUAUUUCGUACAGUUAGGAAGUGUUCUAAUCUCAGCACGUGACCCUUACAUAACUUUGCAUAUUGGGUAGCGGGGAUCUCAAAAUCAAAGGGUUGCCGCUGCGUGCAAAUGUUUGUACUCGGAAGAGACCAUGUAAUCUGGAAACUAAAAUCAUCUUCAAACUUCUAUUUUAGUUUUAUAGAUUUGCACUGAUUAAUCCGAAGAUUUGACGACCAAUUUCGAAUAAUUGAAUCAAACCCUUCCUAAGGAAAAAAUAAGUCAUCCCCCGCGAAUUCUCUCGAUUUGAAACUUUCAACUAGUAAAUACUUUGAAAAACACACAAUAGGGGAGGUUCAUCUCGAAUACAAUAAUUAAUAAAAUAAGCAACAAGUAUCCACCAAGAAAAACUCGUGAGCUAUCCUGGUGAAAUUUGAUACUCUUGCAGCAUGGUAUAGAAAAACGGAUGAAGGGGGAGGUGGAAGCCCGCCUCUAGUAAAUGCAAAGGAAACAAAAAGCUUUCUUCAAUAUCGUUUAAUCUUCUCUCACCUUUUUUAAUAUCAAAAUCGAAGGUGAAAUUUGACAACUUAAUUCUGCAAAUAAAAAGAUGCCAAAUCAUCUCCACCUUAGUCAUCGUACACCAAUGUAUGUUCUCCUCUAUGAGAACACAAGCAUUGCGCUGCCUCUUGCAACCACCACCUUCAACCUCCACCCUAAAUCAACAACCCUGGUUGCCACGGCUCGUUCGACCACCCCACCCUAUUAUAACUCUAGCCAUAUUAAACAAGCAAAUGCAAAACAAUAUGAGUAAUAGUCGAUUAGCUUACCUAUUAGCAGAUAAUUCCCUCGUUCUGCCAAACAUACACGAUGCCCAGAUCGAAUAGUUCCAAAAAAUUGACAAGGAAGAGAACAACAACAAACUGGGAUAGGAAGAAAAUAUUUGGAAAGAAAAAUUAAAACAAAACAAGAUAUGGAAACAAAAUAUUUAUGAAAAGUAAUUUAAGGAUUCAAGCAAAAUAAGGAAAUGAAAUAUUUAUGAAAAGUAAUUUAGAGAUUCAGGCAAAAAAAUUCUCCCUAAAAAGGGAAAAAAUCAAUUAAAUUUUAGGAAAACAAAUAAAAGAAUAAAAUCCUCAAACAGAAUUUAAGGAGAAGCAAUCUAGGGUUUAAAAAAUUAUUUUACCUUAAGGAAACGAACCGUCUGAAACUUACUCAAUAAGUCUCUACUAAAAAAAUGCCUGAUAAGCCCCCAUUUAUACGAUCUACAUGUGUAAGUUGGUCUCAGAAGGGCCAUUUUAUAACCCUUCUUUGACAAAGUGUGGGACAUAUUGUUAUAGAGUACUUUAGAAAUUGAAAAUCGACCCAGUCACAUGAAACAAAAGGCCUGAUCCAAUUUGCGAGUAGCCAGGGCCUCGCGAAGUGCCAACACCUCCUUGACUUACAAAGUGCCAAGGUGGUCCCUCGCCACCUCGCUAAG